CCGCCUGGGGAGUACGGUCGCAAGAUUAAAACUCAAAGGAAUUGACGGGGACCCGCACAAGCGGUGGAUGAUGUGGAUUAAUUCGAUGCAACGCGAAAAACCUUACCUACCCUUGACAUGCCACUAACGAAGCAGAGAUGCAUUAGGUGCCCGAAAGGGAAAGUGGACACAGGUGCUGCAUGGCUGUCGUCAGCUCGUGUCGUGAGAUGUUGGGUUAAGUCCCGCAACGAGCGCAACCCUUGUCAUCAGUUGCUACGAAAGGGCACUCUGAUGAGACUGCCGGUGACAAACCGGAGGAAGGUGGGGAUGACGUCAGGUCCUCAUGGCCCUUAUGGGUAGGGCUACACACGUCAUACAAUGGCCGGUACAGAGGGCAGCCAACCCGCGAGGGGGAGCCAAUCCCAGAAAACCGGUCGUAGUCCGGAUCGCAGUCUGCAACUCGACUGCGUGAAGUCGGAAUCGCUAGUAAUCGCGGAUCAGCUUGCCGCGGUGAAUACGUUCCCGGGUCUUGUACACACCGCCCGUCACACCAUGGGAGCGGGUUCUGCCAGAAGUAGUUAGCCUAACCGCAAGGGGGGCGAUUACCACGGCAGGGUUCGUGACUGGGGUGAAGUCGUAACAAGGUAACC
rnacentral:rRNA from 1 species